CCAUUGCAUCGCAAAGGGAGGACAGAGGCACAAGGAAAUGGAGAGAAACCCAGACAGGACCAGAGAACCAGACAGAGCCCUAAAGAGAAAGAAGCUAAAAGAAGAGGAAAAUCAAAAAGCAAGAGGAGGCAACAGGCCAUGAAGGACACUGAGAUUCAGGGCCUCACAGACAGAGGCCAAAGAGGAGAGAGUCAGAUCUAGCCAGAUACGACUCAGAGGACUCAGAAUCCAAGGACUCUCCUCCCAACAACUGGCUUACCCAUCUGCUGGAGGUGACCUCCUAGUGCUAUGUGUCUGGUCCUCCUCUGCCAAAUGAAUCACCUAGAGUAAGGGAAGAAGCAAGGGAGAGGCUGCAUGCUUCCUCCUCCAUGAGACUAAGAUACUGUAGCCAUACGUGGAAGCAUGUGUGUCAGACUUAUAUAUCCCAGCUUAAGGAGCCUGAAACUUGGCUUUUUCUCUGAAAUUUAAAAAUAAAUUAAAAAAAAAAUGCUUGGGUGGCUUAGUGGUUGAGCAUCUGC